AUACGGAGGAUGCGAGCGUUAUCCGGAUUUAUUGGGUUUAAAGGGUGCGCAGGCGGGCGAUUAAGUCAGCGGUGAAAGGCUCGGGCUCAACCGGAGCAGUGCCGUUGAUACUGGUUGUCUUGAAUGCGGUCAAGGCCGGCGGAAUGUGGCGUGUAGCGGGGAAAUGCAUAGAUAUGCCACAGAACACCGAUAGCGAAGGCAGCUGGCCGGGCCUGCAUUGACGCUGAGGCACGAAAGCGUGGGGAUCGAACAGGAUUAGAUACCCUGGUAGUCCACGCUGUAAACGAUGGACACUCGUUGUCGGCGACAGACAGUCGGCGGCCAAGCGAAAGUGAUAAGUGUCCCACCUGGGGAGUACGGUCGCAAGGUUGAAACUCAAAUGAAUUGACGGGG
rnacentral:rRNA from 1 species